rnacentral:rRNA from 1 species
ACUCCUACGGGAGGCAGCAGUCAAGAAUCUUCCCCAAUGCGCGAAAGCGUGAGGGAGCGACGCCGCGUGCAGGAAGAAGCCCUUCGGGGUGUAAACUGCUUUUAAAUAGGACGAAUUAUUGACGGUACUAUUUGAAUAAGGGGCUGCUAACCUCGUGCCAGCAGCAGCGGUAAUACGAGGGCCCCAAGCGUUAUCCGGAUUUAUUGGGCGUAAAGGGUCCGCAGGCUGUUUGGUGCAUCUCCUGUUAAAUCUACAGGCUUAACCUGUAGGCCGCGGGAGAGAUGACUAAACUAGAGGCCGGGAAAGGUAAGCGGAAUUGCUGGUGUAGGAGUUAAAUCCGUUAAUAUCAGCAGGAACACCAAAUGCGAAGGCAGCUUACUGGAACGUGCCUGACGCUCAGGGACGAAAGCGUGGGGAGCGAAUGGGAUUAGAUACCCCAGUAGUCCACGCCGUAAACGAUGGAUGCUAAGCAUUGGCAGUAUCGACCCUGCCAGUGCUGCUUAACUAAGCUAACGCCUUAAGCAUCCCGCCUGGGGAGUACGAGCGCAAGCUUAAAACUCAAAGGAAUAGACGGGGACCCGCACAAGCGGUGGAGCGUGCGGUUUAAUUCGAUAAUAAGCGAGGAACCUCACCCAGACUUGACAUCUAGCUGCAGAAUCUUGGAAACAAGAUAGCCUUCGAGGGUGCUAGACAGGUGCUGCAUGGUUGUCGUCAGCUCGUGUCGUGAGAUGUACCGUUAAGUCGGGAAACGAGCGCAACCCCUAUUCUAUGUUUUACAUGUCAUAGAAAACUGCCCGCUUUAAGUGGGAGGAAGGUGGGGACGACGUCAAAUCAGCAUGGUCCUUACGUCUGGGGCGACACGCGCGCUACAAUGGGAAGUACAAUGGGGACGNCNAACCGCGAGGNGGAGCAAUCCCUCAAA